rnacentral:rRNA from 1 species
UACGUAGGGUGCGAGCGUUAAUCGGAAUUACUGGGCGUAAAGCGUGCGCAGGCGGUUCGCUGUGUCCGAUGUGAAAGCCCCGGGCUUAACCUGGGAAUGGCAUUGGAAACUGGCGGGCUUGAGUGCGGCAGAGGGGGGUGGAAUUCCGCGGUGUAGCAGUGAAAUGCGUAGAGAUGCGGAGGAACACCGAUGGCGAAGGCAGCCCCCUGGGUCGACACUGACGCUCAGGCACGAAAGCGUGGGGAGCAAACAGG